rnacentral:lncRNA from 1 species
UUUAUAAGGUGUGUUUUCUGCAAUCAGAACCAACAAGGUGUUGAGCGAUCAGUCAUAAACGCACUUCUUCAAAAAGAGAGGGAGAGAAGCUCAGCAUUGUGUGGCGGGGGAAUAAUCCUCAUGACAGUUCUCUCCCCACCCAGUGAUGUUUUGUCUUGGCACCUGGGAAGUGCAGUGACGGCUGGAGCUCUGGACGGACUCUCUUCGCCACGCGUGCCCCUGGAAGCAGGGUCCCUGUGAACUACGGAGAGACCCCAGAGGAGAGAUUUCCUUAUUGUGUAAACACAAAUCAGUCGUCUCAAGGUGUUGACCUCCUCUCUCGUUAUUUAAUUGAUGAUGAUCGGUAGAAAUUAUGUCUGGGUGAUACGAAGUUUACCCACAGAGAGAACCCUGCUUUCUGAAUUGAAAUCCUCAGCAGAACUCUUCCAUCAUUCAUAAAUGAGAUAGCCCAAAGUUCUAAG